CGGAGCAAGACCGCGUGAGGGAGGAAGGCUCUUGGGUUGUAAACCUCUUUUCUCAGGGAAGAAGCUCUGACGGUACCUGAGGAAUCAGCCUCGGCUAACUCCGUGCCAGCAGCCGCGGUAAUACGGAGGAGGCAAGCGUUAUCCGGAAUUAUUGGG
rnacentral:rRNA from 1 species